AGGCUUUGAUCCUGGCUCAGAUUGAACGCUAGCGGCAUGCCUUACACAUGCAAGUCGAACGGCAGCGGGCUCUUCGGAGCGCCGGCGAGUGGCGAACGGGUGAGUAAUACAUCGGAACGUACCCAGUAGCGGGGGAUAGCCCGGCGAAAGCCGGAUUAAUACCGCAUACGCCCUACGGGGGAAAGGGGGGGAUCGCAAGACCUCUCACUAUUGGAGCGGCCGAUGGCUGAUUAGCUAGUUGGUGGGGUAAAGGCCUACCAAGGCGACGAUCAGUAGCUGGUCUGAGAGGACGACCAGCCACACUGGGACUGAGACACGGCCCAGACUCCUACGGGAGGCAGCAGUGGGGAAUUUUGGACAAUGGGCGAAAGCCUGAUCCAGCAAUGCCGCGUGUGCGAAGAAGGCCUUCGGGUUGUAAAGCACUUUUGUCAGGAAAGAAAUUGUCUGGGCUAAUACCCCGGGCCGUUGACGGUACCUGAAGAAUAAGCACCGGCUAACUA
rnacentral:rRNA from 1 species